rnacentral:tRNA from 1 species
CUUGGUCAAGUGGUAAGGAGCCUGGCCUCUGCUCCGGGGGUCGGGGGUUCGAUUCCCGGC